GGAAUCCACAGAAUCCCUGUGGGAUGCAGAAACUGGCAGAGAACUUUUCUGUGCAACAGUGUCUAUUUCCAGGAUUGUCCGGUUCGAUAACCGAGACACCAGACCAGCUUGGCGGCAGAGAGACAAGCUAGCUGCAAUCAGGUCAGUGUGGGAGAAGUGGGUGGUCUGCCUUCCCCUUUUUACAACCCUGGGCCCAAUGUUCUUGUUGUUGAGCAGAUUAUGCCAUUUAGGGGCUGCUGCCCCUUCAGGCAGUACAUACCGUCUAAACCCGCAACAUACGGAAUCAAGAUAUGGGUUCUCUGUGAUGCUGCUUCAUCAUAUGCGUGGAACUUGCAAGUAUAUACGAGGAAGCCAGAUGGAGGAGCCCCUGAGAAGAACCAAGGGACGUGUCCUGGACGUGACUCAGGGACUCCGUGACUACAGCAUCACAUGUAAUAACUUUUUUACUUCACACAAGCUGGGACAGGAGAUCCUCAAGAGGAAGCUGACGAUGGUAGGAACAGUACAAAAAAACAAGCCAGAGCUCCUACCUCAGCUGUUGAAUACAUGGAGCAGGCCUAUCAAGUUUGUGUUGGCGGCCGAUACGUCCCUAGUGUCCUACGUGCUAAAGAAAGGCAAAACUGUGGUAGGGAUGGGAGAAUCUGUGUCCGGGAACAUCAAAAACCAGAAAUCAUAAUGGAUUCCAAUAACACAAAAGGAGGUGUAGACAAUUUAGACAAGCUGUUGACUGGUUACAGCUGCAAAAGAAGAACCCUGCGCUGGCCACUUGUGAUAUUCUUCAACAUCUUGGAGAUCUCUGCGUACAACGUGUUUGUCAUCUGGAUGGCGUUGAACCCAGAUUGGAACAGAGGGAAGCUCCAGAGGGAAGCUCCAGAGGAUACAGCUCUUUCUCGAGGAGCUGGGAAAGGCAUUGGUAAGACCUCAAAUCCAGAGGAGGCAACAUAUUCCAAGGACCCCAGCUUCUGCAGCCAUCGUGAGGAGGAAUCAGGAGGAGAUUGCUAGUGCACCAUCCACCCGACCCACAGAACUCCAAUACCGGAAAAUGCAGCCAUUAGCAACAAGAAAAAGCGCUGGAAUGUGUGUGGACCCAAGAAGGACAGGACGACAGUAUACAUGCAUCAAGUGCAAGAAAUACAUUUGCAACACACACAGUAAAACUCUGUCCCUCAUGUGGUGUGUAGACCGGCCUUCAUUUGUGUUCAAUGGGGCUCAUUUAUCAUUUCCCUUUAAUACUGUACGUAAAAUUUGACAUUCCAAUUUGUUCAGUUCAAAGCAAUAAACAUCAAUAGUGAUGAAAACCUUGUUUAAUUUAUAUCUAUUCAAG
rnacentral:lncRNA from 1 species